CUUUAUCCGUUCGGCGGCACCAGCAGCAGCAGCAGCGGCCGCACUUGUGAUCCCGGUGUGGAAUUAUUAUUAUUUUGUUAUUCAAAAGUCUGGCCCUCAGUCCUUCCCCCAAACAAACCGCCGGCUCCCGCCCCGAUUCCCCCAUUUUACCGUUUUAAAAGUUAGUUCCGCGCACUGCUUCGGUGUUUCGGCGUUGGCGGGGUUACCGAAAUUCGCGCGCGCGGCUCCGUGUUGCGUCCUACUGCUUGCAAGGGUGAUGGUGGCUGCUCCGAGUGAUUAGCACCGAAAGGUUUACGUUCUAUCUUCAGGUGGCAAGUUCAGUUUUCGGGGUUUGAAAUCACUAUUAGCUGCAACCCAUCGGCGGCAGCACAGCUCCGGAUAAGAAGGUUUCAGUGCGAAACGACUAAUACACGGUACUACAUUCUGCUGGACCGAUUUUUGGCAUGCAUUUAGUUCAUCUAAAAGGCAAAUAAUUUGAAGAAAAAAAAACAACAGCAAGUUUAAACCCUUUCUGUGUGAACUUUGGAAAUACGUACGUGAAAGUGUGUUUUUUGAAGUGCUAAAGUGGUGUUGAAACCGAAAUCUUCCAAUUCUGCAACGCGCAACCAGCUACAGAAGCAACAGACCCAGGCCGCAAAAAUAUGUAGAAGAGUCCAAGCACUUGAUACGAUUUGUCAUAUCGUUUUGUUUUUUUUUGUUUUUCCUUUUACGCUCCGUUACUUUUACGAUACAAAAAAACCCCAACCCAACAGUGUGUUAAGUUUUAGUGUGUGAAAAUUCAAGUGACCGUGUGUGCUUCAUCCGGAAUUUUGCCCCUUCUUUUCUCACCCAUGUUUGGAAGAACUUAAAAAAAAACGGGUGUAGCUUACCAAAAUCGUUCAGUUAAACAGUCACUUACGCUCUGCAAACUGUAUUUUCAAUCCAUGCAACAAAAACACACGCACACACAGUGCCGGUAUUAGCUGCUGUCAAAAUUACGAGCUCACAUGCAAACGUUUAACGCCCAGGGAACAUUUUAAGUGAGGCAUAGUUUACCAAAAAAAAAAAAAACAAGCUUAAAAAAAGGAAAAACCCGCAACUGAAAUUUGUGCCAACAACGGACAAAGUAAUGGAAAAAGUAUGAAACAAUUUGCCCGGUACGAUUAAUUUGUCUCGCGCGGGUCAAUCACCACCAUCGCCACCGCCGCCAACGAGCUCAAGGACGAGGACAGAGCGCGCCCGUUUUGCUAGAAUUGGGAACCAUUUAAAAUUGCAUUAACCACCGCUCGGGGGAGGAAGCAGUUGCACUUUUUCGCGAACAUCACCGAUAACAGAGAAAAAAAAAGCAGAAGCGCGCGUGUGUCCAUUUGCUCCACUGCUGUGGGUUUAGCCAACGUUGCGCAAGUAAUUAGAAUGGCUGGCGGAAAAGCUGGCGCUGCUGGUGGAACUGCUGCCGCCCGGUGGUGGAGCUGCUGCCGUCGAUGAGCAGCCCGGCUCGCUAUCCGCGGAGUUUCGCCGCAGUGCGUCCUGCAGUGUGAAGCGCCCGCCGAUCCAGAGCAUAGGCGUUUGACCCGGAGCAUAUCAUCGGUGUGCUCUGCCUGCGAUCCGCGCCCGCGUCCGCUUUCAAACGUUCCAAACCAACAGAACGGUGCUGAUAAGGUGUGUCUGUGUGCGUCUGAGUGUGAUGAAGUGCGUGUGUGAGAUGGUUUUUUAGUUUAUUACUAUUUUGUUCUGAUUGAGUGUGACCAAGACUAUAGUUUGAGCAAAGCCGGCAAGAAACAAGCGUCAGCGAGGGAAAGAGCAGAAAUACAACAAACACACACCGUUUAUUACCGUUCCUCUGCGCGCGUGCAGCCGUUUGGAGUGUCUUCCUGUUUGUUCUUUUUGGCGUAACCUUUUACAUUGUGAUGACGAUAAAUAAAUGCUACCGAUAAUAACGUGAAACGUUUGUUGUUUAUCGCUCUGUAGCUCGCAUGAUCGUGACGGUCUCGUGGUACAGUCGUCAACUCAUACGACUCGACAACAUGCCCGUCAUGGGCUCAAGCCCCGAAUGGACGGUGUCCCCAUACUACGUAGGACUGAUUAUCAUACUUAUGGGUAUCCACCAAGACACUGAAAGUCAAUCCAAUUAGAAGUGGUACAAACAGACCUUUUACCGUCAACGGUUGCUGUGACAAAGAAGAAAAAGAAGAAGAAGAAGAAGAAGAAGAAGAAGAAGAAAAUCAUUUGAUGUAGCUAU